rnacentral:rRNA from 1 species
UGCCUACGGGGGGCAGCAGUGGGGAAUAUUGCACAAUGGGGGAAACCCUGAUGCAGCGACGCCGCGUGAGUGAAGAAGCGCCUCGGCGCGUAAAGCUCUGUCAGCAGGAACGACGAUGACGGUACCUGAAGAAGAAGCCCCGGCUAACUACGUGCCAGCAGCCGCGGUAAUACGUAGGGGGCAAGCGUUAUCCGGAUUUACUGGGUGUAAAGGGAGCGUAGACGGCAGCACAAGUCUGGA